rnacentral:rRNA from 1 species
CCCUUAGAUGUUCUGGGCCGCACGCACGCUACACUGACCAGUGCAACAAGCAUCCGUCCUUGGCCGACAGGCCCGGGCAAUCUUUGAACGCUGGUCGUGAUGGGGAUAGACUUUUGCAAUUUUUGGUCUUCAACGAGGAAUUCCUAGUAAACGCAAGUCAUCAACUUGCAUUGAUUACGUCCCUGCCCUUUGUACACACCGCCCGUCGCACCUACCGAUUGAAUGGUCCGGUGAAGCCUCCGGAUUGGCGCGCACCUCGGUGCCGCCGAGAAGUUGGCUAAACCUUACCAUUUAGAGGAAGGUGAAGUCGUAACA